rnacentral:lncRNA from 1 species
CUGUAGGAAGCGUAUGAUGAACAUGCCUGGAAUAUAAAUGAGACAGUUGUCGGCAGGGAUGUAUACCCCCGUCUGGUACAUGAAAGUGAAAUGUGAUAAGUGGCCAACCAAGUGAGUUCCCCAGAAAAAUCAUGAACUUAUGGGUGAGUAGUGGCGUUUGUUGAUGAUAUGAUAUGUGCUUAGUUGUCUGAGUAACAACGGAUUGAUGACCCUGACCAUGAUUUACCCCAUGCCACAGCAGCUGCUACAAUGGGGUAGAUCUCCCAAAGGGGCUGAAGUGGUGGAAAAAUUUCCAAACCUGGAUGCCAUGGCCAACAGCCCCAAAGCAGUUGUUCCCGGUAGAUCGCUGCCAAAC